UACGGAGGGUGCGAGCGUUAAUCGGAAUAACUGGGCGUAAAGGGCACGCAGGCGGUGACUUAAGUGAGGUGUGAAAGCCCCGGGCUUAACCUGGGAAUUGCAUUUCAUACUGGGUCGCUAGAGUACUUUAGGGAGGGGUAGAAUUCCACGUGUAGCGGUGAAAUGCGUAGAGAUGUGGAGGAAUACCGAAGGCGAAGGCAGCCCCUUGGGAAUGUACUGACGCUCAUGUGCGAAAGCGUGGGGAG
rnacentral:rRNA from 1 species